rnacentral:rRNA from 1 species
GACGAACGCUGGCGGCGCGCUUAACACAUGCAAGUCGAACGGAAAGGCCUGCUUUCCCUUGUGGCUUGCGGGUACUCGAGUGGCGAACGGGUUAGUAACACGUGAGUGAUCUGCCCCCAACUUGGAUAUAAGCCUGGGAAACUGGGUCUAAUUCCCGAUAGGACUGCAGGGUGGUGCCUGUGGUUGAAAACGAUUUUCUAGUGAUUGGGGAUGAGCUCGCGGCCUAUCAGCUUGUUGGUGGGGUAAUGGCCUACCAAGGCGGCGACGGGUAGCCGGCCUGAGAGGGCGGACGGGGACAUUAGAGCUGGGACACGGCCCAGGGUCCUACGGGAGGCAGCAGUGGGGGAUAUUGGACAAUGGGGGGAAGCCUGAUGCAGCGGCGCAGCGUGGGGGAUGACGGCCUUCGGGUAGUAAACUCCUUUCGAGCGCGGGGAAGCUACCUGGUUGGGAGGGAUGUGACGGUAGUGGUAGGAGAAGGACCGGCUAACUACGUG